rnacentral:rRNA from 1 species
UACGGAGGGAGCUAGCGUUGUUCGGAAUUACUGGGCGUAAAGCGCGCGUAGGCGGCUUUGUAAGUUAGAGGUGAAAGCCCGGGGCUCAACCCCGGAACUGCCUUUAAGACUGCAUCGCUUGAAUCCGGGAGAGGUGAGUGGAAUUCCGAGUGUAGAGGUGAAAUUCGUAGAUAUUCGGAAGAACACCAGUGGCGAAGGCGGCUCACUGGACGACUGUUGACGCUGAGGUACGAAAGCGUGGGGAGCAAACAGG